rnacentral:tRNA from 1 species
AUCCUCAUAAGUUUAAUCAGCCUUCUAAGCUGAGGGUCACAGGUUCGAUUCCUGUUGGGCAGG